rnacentral:tRNA from 1 species
UGGGGCGUGGUGCAAUGGUAGCACAGCAGACUUUGGAUCUGUUUAUCCUGGUUCGAAUCCGGGCGCCUCAG